rnacentral:rRNA from 1 species
UACGUAGGGGGCAAGCGUUGUCCGGAAUCAUUGGGCGUAAAGCGCGUGUAGGCGGCUCGAUAAGUCUGCUGUGAAAGUCCAAGGCUCAACCUUGGGAUGCCGGUGGAUACUGUCGAGCUCGAGUCCGGAAGAGGAGUGUGGAAUUCCUGGUGUAGCGGUGAAAUGCGCAGAUAUCAGGAGGAACACCAAUGGCGAAGGCAGCACUCUGGGGACGUGACUGACGCUGAGACGCGAAAAGCGUGGGGAGCAAACAGG